rnacentral:ncRNA from 1 species
UACAUGGAGGAAAUGCCAUGGGAUGGGUGUAUCCUAUCCGGUCUCAUUGAUGAUUAUUUCCCUGAUUAUCAAUCGGACUGCGGGGCUGUCAUACUCCUCAAU